AUGAACGCUAGCUACAGGCUUAACACAUGCAAGUCGAGGGGCAGCAUGAACUUAGCUUGCUAAGUUUGAUGGCGACCGGCGCACGGGUGAGUAACACGUAUCCAACCUGCCGAUGACUCGGGGAUAGCCUUUCGAAAGAAAGAUUAAUACCCGAUGGCAUAGUUCUUCCGCAUGGUAGAACUAUUAAAGAAUUUCGGUCAUCGAUGGGGAUGCGUUCCAUUAGGUUGUUGGCGGGGUAACGGCCCACCAAGCCUUCGAUGGAUAGGGGUUCUGAGAGGAAGGUCCCCCACAUUGGAACUGAGACACGGUCCAAACUCCUACGGGAGGCAGCAGUGAGGAAUAUUGGUCAAUGGACGAGAGUCUGAACCAGCCAAGUAGCGUGAAGGAUGACUGCCCUAUGGGUUGUAAACUUCUUUUAUACGGGAAUAAAGUGAGGCACGUGUGCCUUUUUGUAUGUACCGUAUGAAUAAGGAUCGGCUAACUCCGUGCCAGCAGCCGCGGUAAUACGGAGGAUCCGAGCGUUAUCCGGAUUUAUUGGGUUUAAAGGGAGCGUAGGCGGACGCUUAAGUCAGUUGUGAAAGUUUGCGGCUCAACCGUAAAAUUGCAGUUGAUACUGGGUGUCUUGAGUACAGUAGAGGCAGGCGGAAUUCGUGGUGUAGCGGUGAAAUGCUUAGAUAUCACGAAGAACUCCGAUUGCGAAGGCAGCUUGCUGGACUGUAACUGACGCUGAUGCUCGAAAGUGUGGGUAUCAAACAGGAUUAGAUACCCUGGUAGUCCACGCCGUAAACGAUGAGAACUAGGUGUUGGGGGAAUAACUCAGUGCCGCAGUUAACGCAAUAAGUUCUCCGCCUGGGGAGUAUGCACGCAAGUGUGAAACUCAAAGGAAUUGACGGGGGCCCGCACAAGCGGUGGAGUAUGUGGUUUAAUUCGAAGCAACGCGAAGAACCUUACCAGGACUUGACAUCCCUCUGACAGAGCCUUAACCGGCUCCUUCUUCGGACAGAGGAGACAGGUGGUGCAUGGUUGUCGUCAGCUCGUGUCGUGAGAUGUUUGGUUAAGUCCAACAACGAGCGCAACCCUCGUCUUAAGUUGCUAACAUUAAGUUGAGAACUCUUAAGAUACUGCCAGUGCAAGCUGGAGGAAGGUGGGGAUGACGUCAAAUCAGCACGGCCCUUACGUCCGGGGCUACACACGUGUUACAAUGGGGGGUACAGAAGGCAGCUACACGGCGACGUGAUGCUAAUCCCUAAAGCCUCUCUCAGUUCGGAUUGGAGUCUGCAACCCGACUCCAUGAAGCUGGAUUCGCUAGUAAUCGCGCAUCAGCCACGGCGCGGUGAAUACGUUCCCGGGCCUUGUACACACCGCCCGUCAAGCCAUGAAAGCCGGGGGUACCUGAAGUGCGUAACCGCAAGGAGCGCCCUAGGGUAAAACUGGUGAUUGGGGCU
rnacentral:rRNA from 1 species